rnacentral:rRNA from 1 species
GAUGAACGCUGGCGGCGUGCCUAAUACAUGCAAGUCGAGCGAACAGACGAGGAGCUUGCUCCUCUGACGUUAGCGGCGGACGGGUGAGUAACACGUGGAUAACCUACCUAUAAGACUGGGAUAACUUCGGGAAACCGGAGCUAAUACCGGAUAAUAUAUUGAACCGCAUGGUUCAAUAGUGAAAGACGGUUUUGCUGUCACUUAUAGAUGGAUCCGCGCCGCAUUAGCUAGUUGGUAAGGUAACGGCUUACCAAGGCAACGAUGCGUAGGCGACCUGAGAGGUGGAGCGGCCACACGGAAGCGGAGACGCGGUCCAGACGCCUACGGGAGGCAGCAGUAGGGAAGCUUCCGCAAUGGGCGAAAGCCUGACGGAGCAACGCGGCGUGAGUGAUGAAGGGCUUCGGAUCGUAAAACUCGGUUAUUAGGGAAGAACAAAUGUGUAAGUAACGAUGCACGUCUUGACGGUACCUAAUAAGAAAGCCACGGCUAACUACGU